GCAGGACAGGGACAGCAGUCUGCCGCUGAACACGGGAUGAUCCAGUCUCUCCCACAACUUCUGCUUGAUUGGCGUCCGAGAUCUAAACUAUAUGGAAGUCGACGGACAUGAUUGAACCUGAGCGGAAGAAACAAAAAUUGCCGGUGGGGAAGUGGCCUCCUUCAGUUUUCUGACACGGACACUUUUUCAUUUUGACUGCUCCUACUCAAUUUCUUCUUUAGUCUCUGGAAUGAAAAUAACACUGGAUACCAUGGCUUCGUUUAGCAACUUUGAGUUUGCGUAUCAAUCGGAUCCAGAUGAUGAGACCGACCUGGUGAGCCUUUAUAACAAGCCAUACCUGCACGUUCAGUGUUUCCCCUGCCAUUGUCUUGGGGGGGGGCGCACGGAUCUCAUCAGGCCCAGACAGUGACAGCACCAUAUACAGAGCUGAAGGCGCAGUUUCACACAUUGCAGAUGGUGAGACCAUGUCUCAGUCUUGCAAAUCGUGAUCUUGGGUUGGAUCCAGAAGACACAACCGACAAGGUGAGCUUGUCUACCAACCACACCUGAGGGAUGUAAGCGGCAGGCAAGGCGGCCAAUCAUUUUAUGGCUGAAAGAAAUAAUUGGAGGGAACUUAUUACAGAGACCAGAUUUUUUGUCUGAGCAUUUGAUUUAUUGAUUGCUGUUGGGAUGUAAAGAAUAUUUUAACAAAUAUAACAAACUUGUAAACACUAUAUCUCCUUGAGGGAAUUUCUUCAAAUUUGGCACAAAAGCUCACUUGGACUUAAGAAUGAACUGUUUAGAAUUUGGUGGUCAAAGGUUAAGGUCACUGUGACCUCACCAAACACGUUUUUGCCUAUAACUCAAGGACAGACAUAUAUGUAAAUUGCAACUUGACUGGUUGGCGGAGGCAUACAGCCGCAAGGCAUGAAUUCAAGUUUGAACUUGAAACGGCUUAAACCUAAUUAAUUUU